ACUCCUACGGGAGGCAGCAGUGGGGAAUUUUGGACAAUGGGCGCAAGCCUGAUCCAGCAAUGCCGCGUGAGUGAAGAAGGCCUUCGGGUGUAAAGCUCUUUUGUCAGGGAAGAAACGGGUGAGGCUAAUAUCCUUGCCUAAUGACGGUACCUGAAGAAUAAGCACCGGCUAACUACGUGCCAGCAGCCGCGGUAAUACGUAGGGUGCAAGCGUUAAUCGGAAUUACUGGGCGUAAAGCGUGCGCAGGCGGUUGUGCAAGACAGAUGUGAAAUCCCCGGGCUCAACCUGGGAAUUGCAUUUGUGACUGCACGGCUAGAGUGUGUCAGAGGGGGGUAGAAUUCCACGUGUAGCAGUGAAAUGCGUAGAUAUGUGGAGGAAUACCGAUGGCGAAGGCAGCCCCCUGGGAUAACACUGACGCUCAUGCACGAAAGCGUGGGGAGCAAACAGGAUUAGAUACCCUGGUAGUCCACGCCCUAAACGAUGUCUACUAGUUGUCGGGUCUUAAUUGACUUGGUAACGCAGCUAACGCGUGAAGUAGACCGCCUGGGGAGUACGGUCGCAAGAUUAAAACUCAAAGGAAUUGACGGGGACCCGCACAAGCGGUGGAUGAUGUGGAUUAAUUCGAUGCAACGCGAAAAACCUUACCUACCCUUGACAUGUACGGAAGUCCGAAGAGAUUUGGAUGUGCUCGAAAGAGAACCGUAACACAGGUGCUGCAUGGCUGUCGUCAGCUCGUGUCGUGAGAUGUUGGGUUAAGUCCCGCAACGAGCGCAACCCUUGUCAUUAGUUGCUACGAAAGGGCACUCUAAUGAGACUGCCGGUGACAAACCGGAGGAAGGUGGGGAUGACGUCAAGUCCUCAUGGCCCUUAUGGGUAGGGCUUCACACGUCAUACAAUGGUACAUACAGAGGGCCGCCAACCCGCGAGGGGGAGCUAAUCCCAGAAAGUGUAUCGUAGUCCGGAUUGUAGUCUGCAACUCGACUACAUGAAGUUGGAAUCGCUAGUAA
rnacentral:rRNA from 1 species